rnacentral:lncRNA from 1 species
GAGAAAAGACUGAAGGGAAAGAGCCGACUCAAGGGCAUCGAGGGGAGAACAAAGCCUGAUUCAGCCUGUUCUUUUCCCAGGAAAUCCAGGUGGGCGAAAACCACACCAGGCCGCAGUGGUCCCGCUGCUGGGCCCCCACACCCGCAAUUCUACAGCGUCAGCACCGAGGCCUCAGCAGCCAGCAGCCAGAAGUUUCCUCUCCUGCUGCUGGCUCCACCCCCAGGGACAGCCCCGCUGCUCCAGGCUGCCCAGGGCAGGCCUGGCCCUGAGCCCAUGACCAGAGCAGCACCCUCCUCCAAGCACAGGUGAGGCCUCACCAUGGCGACGCCCUCCUCCAAGGAGAGACACGGACACACAGAUCCAACGUCUUCCGAUCUCUGUUGGGUCUGGGGGCGACGCAUUUCCCCCCAGACCUCCUGGCCACCUGGAGGACGACCGGAGUCUCAGUGUGGGCGUCCCUGGACUUGCGAAGGGUGCUUCCAGCCACACCCCGCCUCCCGCCCUGUGACCGGGCUCCCUGCAGCCCCGCUGCCCUUGGCCCUCAGCCCUGGUGAAGGAAAGAACCCGAGCUCAGCCUACCAGCAGCGGGCCCCCCGAGUGGCCCAUUCCCACGUGAUCACACUGUCCAAGCUUUGCGUAAAAUUCCCGCUUAGGAGUGAAGGACUUUGGGAAUCUCUGGUCUCACAUGAAUACACUGAAAUCCCGCAUGUCUCCAGGCGCACGAAGGCCACACACGGGGUCAGGGAGAGCUGGUUCUUUCGGGCUGACACACACACAAGGGUCAGUCUCACAGCCUGGCUCUGAGGGCGCCCAGAGGGCUGAACUGAGACGCAGACAGGCCUCCUCGGGCAGCCUUCUCCAGACUCCAGUCCAGCAAGUGGGCCUCCAGGAGGGUCCCUGUCUCGUUCCAGGCCUGAAUCUCCCUUCAUUCAAGCACCGUGGCCAACUCACCCCCAUNNNNNNNNNNNNNNNNNNNNNNNNNNNNNNNNNNNNNNNNNNNNNNNNNNNNNNNNNNNNNNNNNNNNNNNNNNNNNNNNNNNNNNNNNNNNNNNNNNNCCCAUGCCAGCUUCUAAAGCUUUCCACUGCCCUUUCCUCUGUUAAAGGGGAUGCAUGCUGCCACUGGGCACUCGAGACGCCCUGCACGUGGGAUCCUUUAAUAAUGCUCCUCUGCUCUCGGCCUCCCCGUGUGGGCCUGCCUCUUUUCUCUGGGGUCUGUGUCCUCUGGUCUAACCAUACCUGAUUAAAAGAAGUCCCGAGGACAGAGUUUAGGGCAGUCUUCAGGAGGCUUUCUCUUCUGAAGUCCCCACGGGGCCUCUGUCAUGUCAAAUCUCCCCCGUUACCCCCCGACAAGGACAUUAGGGCCCAGUCAGAUAAUCCAGGAUCAUCUCCUCACUGUAAGGCCCUUACUUAACUCAGUCGCAGCUGCGAAGUCCCUUCAGGGCCGCAGCUCCCCUCGGGACGGGGCGGCCAGCCGCCGGUGCACCGCUGUGCCCCUCGCAACUGCUGGCAACUGCGGUCAGGGGCUUCCGCCUCGGGAUCUGCCUCGAGCCUCGCGAGCGCGUGCGCGCGCGUCGGGGUCUCCAUCGGGUUUGCGGACAGCAGACCUUCCUGCUGUGCACCCUUCCUUCCCGUGAGGAUCCCCGCCUCCCGCAAGGACACCAGCUGCCAUCAAGGAGGGUCGGUGGUGGUGAACGUCCUCGGAGCUGGACCCUUGGAAGCGUCUCUUCUGGCCUCAUCUCAAAGCACAUUUUUUUGCUGGGUUUAGACGACCUGGCUGACAGCAAUCGACUUUGCUUUCCUUUCCCUUCCGCCGGCUCUGUAGCUUCUGCUGGAAGCUUGGUGCUCUUCCUGCUGCCUGGCUCUGAGGCGAGGGGUCCUUUCCCCCCAGCUGCGUUGGAGGCCCCCCUCUGGCUCUGCCGUCUGCUCUUCACCUGGACGCUCCUGGGUUCUGCUGCCUUCGUCCUUCUCCUCCGGCCGCGCAGCUCGGCUCCAUGCCGUGGCUGGACGGCGUCAGUCACUCUUGGAACGUGAUCAGCACCUCUCCGUCUUCACCGCAGGGGACUGCGGACGAGGGUGGACUCCGGGUGGGCUCUGCUGUCAAGGGAGGUCAGUGUGGGGGCUGGAGGCCCCUCCCUGCGCCCCGAGAUGUCUGGUGGAGGAAGUGCAUUGGCACAGAAGCUCGUAGUGUGCGUGUGCAAUUCAAAGCUGAAACACUUACACCGCUGACCCCACCUCCCCCGACCCAUGGGCCAGGCUGCCCAUCCCGCCACAGAGGUGUCCGCUGCACUUCUCAAAAGCAGCGCAGACCCCGGGCCACCCUGGUUGCUUAACAACAGCUCCUCUCUCAGAAAACCGCAGGUCCCCACGUGGCUCCGGCCAAAUUCCCAAGGGCCACCAGCCCACCUUCCAAAUGGGUCCACAUCUGGUCACCUCCCCGCACCGUCCAGUCGUCGCGGUUUCAGCCAUGGAGCAGCCACCCGGCCGGAGCGUUAGGUUACUUCCCGGCCCGCGGACGACCUUCUGAAGCCCUGACACUACCCCCAAGCGC